rnacentral:rRNA from 1 species
GAGUUUGAUCCUGGCUCAGGACGAACGCUGGCGGCGUGCCUAACACAUGCAAGUCGAGCGGGGAUAUACGAAUGAGAGCUUCGGCAGGAUUUUGUAUAUUCUAGCGGCGGACGGGUGAGUAACGCGUGAGCAAUCUGUCCUUCACAGGGGGAUAACACAUCGAAAGGUGUCCUAAUACCGCAUAAGACCACGUUGUCGCAUGACAAAGAGGUCAAAGGAGAAAUCCGGUGAAGGGUGAGCUCGCGUCCGAUUAGAUAGUUGGUGAGGUAACGGCCCACCAAGUCAACGAUCGGUAGCCGACCUGAGAGGGUGAUCGGCCACAUUGGGACUGAGACACGGCCCAGACUCCUACGGGAGGCAGCAGUGGGGAAUAUUGGGCAAUGGGGGGAACCCUGACCCAGCAACGCCGCGUGGAGGAAGAAGGUCUUCGGAUCGUAAACUCCUGUCCUAAGAGACGAGCAGGAGACGGUAUCUUAGGAGGAAGCCCCGGCUAACUACGUGCCAGCAGCCGCGGUAAUACGUAGGGGGCAAGCGUUGUCCGGAAUGAUUGGGCGUAAAGGGCGCGUAGGCGGCCGAGCAAGUCUGGAGUGAAAUACCCGUUUUCAAGAUGGGCACUGCUUUGGAAACUGUUCGGCUUGAGUGCAGGAGAGGUCAGUGGAAUUCCCAGUGUAGCGGUGAAAUGCGUAGAGAUUGGGAGGAACACCAGUGGCGAAGGCGACUGACUGGACUGUAACUGACGCUGAGGCGCGAAAGUGUGGGGAGCAAACAGGAUUAGAUACCCUGGUAGUCCACACUGUAAACGAUGAAUGCUAGGUGUAGGGGGUAUCGACCCCUUCUGUGCCGCAGUUAACACAAUAAGCAUUCCGCCUGGGGAGUACGGCCGCAAGGUUGAAACUCAAAGGAAUUGACGGGGGCCCGCACAAGCAGCGGAGCAUGUGGUUUAAUUCGACGCAACGCGAAGAACCUUACCAGGUCUUGACAUCCAGGUAAAGCCAUAGAGAUAUGGUGUGUGCUUGCACAAUCUGAGACAGGUGGUGCAUGGUUGUCGUCAGCUCGUGUCGUGAGAUGUKGGGUUAAGUCCCGCAACGAGCGCAACCCUUGUUUUCAGUUGCCAGCAGGUAGCGCUGGGCACUCUGAAGAGACUGCCGGGGACAACUCGGAGGAAGGUGGGGACGACGUCAAAUCAUCAUGCCCCUUAUGACCUGGGCUACACACGUGCUACAAUGGCCACGACAAAGAGGAGCGAAGCCGCGAGGUGGAGCAGAUCUCAAAAAAGUGGUCUCAGUUCGGAUUGUGGGCUGCAACCCGCCCACAUGAAGUCGGAGUUGCUAGUAAUCGCGGAUCAGCAUGCCGCGGUGAAUGCGUUCCCGGGCCUUGUACACACCGCCCGUCACACCAUGGGAGUUGGGAGUGCCCAAAGUCGGUGAGGUAACCGCAAGGAGCCAGCCGCCUAAGGCAAGACCAAUGACUGGGGUGAAGUCGUAACAAGGUAGCCGUAUCGGAAGGUGCGGCUGGAUCACCUCCUUA